UCACCAGACAAUAACAUUAGAUGGUUGACUUCAAGCAAGAAACAUGAGCUCAUUAUUCUAAUCAUAAGACCUCAAACAAAUCUUGGCAGGCAUUUACGCAUGAUUUCCACUCUGGUUCACAUAUUAUAAGCCCAUUAUUAUGCUUGUCAAGGUGCUAUAACCUUUACCUUUUGUACAAAAUGUUCUAUCAUUCUAUGUACUCUUUACUUUGGAACAACUCCAGGAUAUGUCAUUUCAUUAAUUAAUCCAUUCUCUCAAUUCAUGAAAA